rnacentral:rRNA from 1 species
AAAGGCCUACGGGGGGCAGCAGUGGGGAAUAUUGCACAAUGGGCGAAAGCCUGAUGCAGCAACGCCGCGUGAAGGAAGAAGGCCUUCGGGUCGUAAACUUCUGUCCUUGGGGAAGAAGAACUGACGGUACCCAAGGAGGAAGCCCCGGAUAACUACGUGCCAGCAGCCGCGGUAAUACGUAGGGGGCAAGCGUUAUCCGGAAUUAUUGGGCGUAAAGAGUACGUAGGUGGCAACCUCAGCGCAGGGAUUAAGGCAAUGGCUCAACCAUUGAUCGCUCUGCGAACUGGG